rnacentral:tRNA from 1 species
AUUUAUAUAGUUUAUUAAAAACAUUACAUUUUCAAUGUAAAAAUAAAUAAAAAUUUUAUAAAUA